rnacentral:rRNA from 1 species
CCUACGGGGGGCAGCAGUGGGGGAUAUUGGACAAUGGGCGAAAGCCUGAUCCAGCAAUGCCGCGUGUGUGAAGAAGGUCUUCGGAUUGUAGAGCACUUUCGACGGGGACGAUGAUGACGGUACCCGUAGAAGGAGCCCCGGCUAACUUCGUGCCAGCAGCCGCGGUAAUACGAAGGGGGCUAGCGUUGCUCGGAAUGACUGGGCGUAAAGGGCGCGUAGGCGGUUUAUGCAGUCAGAUGUGAAAUCCCCGGGCUUAACCUGGGAACUACAUUUGAGACGCAUAGACUAGAGGUCGAGAGAGGGUUGUGGAAUUCCCAGUGUAGAGGUGAAAUUCAUAGAUAUUGGGAAGAACACCGGUGGCGAAGGCGGCAACCUGGCUCGAUACUGACGCUGAGGCGCGAAAGCGUGGGGAGCAAACAGGAUUAGAUAC